rnacentral:rRNA from 1 species
UAUGGCUCAGAGCGAACGCUGGCGGCAGGCUUAACACAUGCAAGUCGAGCGCCCGCAAGGGGAGCGGCAGACGGAGAGUAACACGUGGGAACGUACCUUUCAGUUCGGAACAACCAAGGGAAACUUUGGCUAAUACCGGAUACGCCCGUAAGGGGAAAGAUUUAUCGCUGAAAGAUCGGCCCGCGUCUGAUUAGCUAGUUGGUGGGGUAAAUGGCCCACCAAGGCGACGAUCAGUAGCUGGUCUGAGAGGAUGAUCAGCCUCACUGGGACUGAGACACGGCCCAGACUCCUACGGGAGGCAGCAGUGGGGAAUAUUGGACAAUGGGCGCAAGCCUGAUCCAGCCAUGCCGCGUGGAUGAUGAAGGCCUUAGGGUUGUAAAGUCCUUUUAACGGGGAAGAUAAUGACGGUACCCGUAGAAUAAGCCCCGGCUAACUUCGUGCCAGCAGCUGC